GUAGACUCCUUUGUGACUACAAGACAAACGUUAAAGGCAUCUGUAAGAGUAAACAAAACAAUUCCAAGCCAACAUGUCCAGGUUGAAAAAGGGGAUAUUUACUGGCUGCGAGCAAACACACACACACACACUGACACACACAUCUCUCUCCCAGUGAAAAAUAAAAGUCGUUCUGUAAGUCUUUUGUUCCUUCAGACUAGCACACACAUUUAUAGUCAUGGCUGAGAGGAGACGGCACCAGUGGCCCCUCUUCACACUGUGAGAGAAGGAGACAUGGAAGGAAAGCUGGGAUCGUCACAGUGCUAUUGCCUCUUGAAGUCAAAUUGUGUCGUCCUCUUCAGAGCCGUGUGACGCAGAGUUUAUUAUGGAGGACUUGAAGCCCGAGGGCUGGCGGCAGCUACUUCAGCCCCAUGGUGCAGCUGGCAAAAACAGCACAAGUCUCCUUCGCAGGUCCUCAUCAUGGAGGAGGCCUGGGGAGCGGGGUUAUUACGAGGGCCCCGCGGCGCAGGUGAAUGAGCCCCCUCGCAGAGCUCGUCCACUGAGCUGCAUAGAGGGUGGCAGGAUGGACAAAUGGCUUCAGACACUAGAGAGACUCCAAUCACGUCGGCUUCAGAAUCAAAUACCUCCGUUUGUGGACAGGACGAUAUCAAUGCCAGUUCCCUCGAAUGAGACAGCGGGAAGUAACCCACUGUGUCCUGAUGUUUCCUCUCUGCGCAGGAGGAAUCAGACCCCUAGCGUCUGUCCCAGAGUGAGUGAAAGCUCCUCGAGCAGUCUGGAGUCUGUUCACAUUAAAGCUGCUCCCGCUGCAGAAAGAGCUCAGUUCUGCGCUCUCGCUCCAGUUCACUUCGGCUGGCUGCCCAUACAAAGACAUGUGAUACUGACAGACAUCUGUCAUAACCACCAUGACAACAGUAGGUGCCAGACUGGAGAUAAAAGCCUUCAGAGUCCUAGACUUUCUGCCACCACUGUACACCACACAACAAUCACUCUCACCUCUACUGGGAACAAACCCCGGAAAUGAAC
ensembl:lncRNA